CCCAGGUUGCAAAAAAUUAUAUUGUCAAACUCAUACAUCCAUGUAGCAAUAUACAUCACGCUACAUCUAAGUCACAUGUCCAAAAUGACAAAGAACAUAGCCAUUUCAACAUCUUGAAUAUUCAUCAAGCUAACAAAAAGAGCUGUAGCUACCCCUAAACAUUAUUAAGGCUUUUCACUUUACUGAGACAUCCUCCAUACCACACUAUUAACCAAUCUGAAAAGAAGCAAAUGGUAGCCAAAUUAGUCAAAGAUAUAAAGAUUAGAGUUAGCUCUAGGUUCACACAUAUCUAUUGGACAGAACCAAGCUCUCUGGUCAACAUAUAACAGUUAAUGAAACAAAUCUAUCCACAAAAAUAAUACUACUACUAGGAUGUACCCUGAAACAAGCUCCCUGGUCAUAAUUUUAAAAUAUUAUCCAUUUAUCUGACACUAAGACUGUACAACAUUACAGAACCAUAGUAUCCUAACUAUAUAGAAAAGCCAAUAAACGGUAGAAAUAGUUGGUCAAUGAAGGGUUACUUGAGGCUUGCAGAUGGAGUGAGUAAAAAACGUGCUCUUAACAUAAACCUGCAACCAUGGCACCAGGAUAGCUGAUCAAAAC
rnacentral:lncRNA from 1 species